GUGGGGAAUCUUGCGCAAUGGGCGAAAGCCUGACGCAGCCAUGCCGCGUGAAUGAUGAAGGUCUUAGGAUUGUAAAAUUCUUUCACCGGGGACGAUAAUGACGGUACCCGGAGAAGAAGCCCCGGCUAACUUCGAGCCAGCAGCCGCGGUAAUACGAAGGGGGCUAGCGUUGCUCGGAAUUACUGGGCGUAAAGGGCGCGUAGGCGGACAGUUUAGUCAGAGGUGAAAGCCCAGGGCUCAACCUUGGAAUUGCCUUUGAUACUGGCUGUCUUGAGUACGGGAGAGGUGAGUGGAACUCCGAGUGUAGAGGUGAAAUUCGUAGAUAUUCGGAAGAACACCAGUGGCGAAGGCGACUCACUGGCCCGUUACUGACGCUGAGGCGCGAAAGCGUGGGGAGCAAACAGGAUUAGAAACCCUUGUAGUCC
rnacentral:rRNA from 1 species